rnacentral:rRNA from 1 species
CAGGCGCGAAAACUUUACAAUGCGGGAAACCGUGAUAAGGGAAUCUCGAGUGCCAGCAUAUAAUGUUGGCUGUCCAGAUGCCUAAAAAGCAUCUGUUAGCAAGGGCCGGGCAAGACCGGUGCCAGCCGCCGCGGUAACACCGGCGGCCCGAGUGGUAACCGCUUUUAUUGGGUCUAAAGGGUCUGUAGCCGGCCAGGUAAGUCCCUUGGGAAAUCUGGCAGCUCAACUGUCAGGCUGCUAGGGGAUACUGUUUGGCUUGGGACCGGGAGAGGUGAGAGGUACCUUGGGGGUAGGGGUGAAAUCUUGUGAUCCUCGGGGGACCACCAGUGGCGAAGGCGUCUCACCAGAACGGGUCCGACGGUAAGGGACGAAAGCUAGGGGCACGAACCGGAUUAGAUACCCGGGUAGUCCUAGCCGUAAACGAUGCUCGCUAGGUGUCAGUCACGGUGCGACCGUGAUUGGUGCCGUAGGGAAGCCGUGAAGCGAGCCACCU